rnacentral:rRNA from 1 species
CCUGCGGAAGGAUCAUUGUCGAAACCUGCCCAGCAGAACGACCAGCGAACACGUCUAAUACUUUCGUGCGUUAGGGUCAUUUGGGCAGCCUUGUGCUCCUACUUGCUCCUGCUCGAGCCUAGGGGCGCCCCUAGUGGGUUUUCCCUUGGCAUCUCAACGAACCCCGGCGCGAGAAGCGUCAAGGAAAUAAACAUAAUAUGAGCUCCCUCCUUUUGCCCGGUUAGCCGGUGCAUGGGUGUGGUGUCAUGUCUUAACAUUAAACGACUCUCGGCAACGGAUAUCUCGGCUCUCGCAUCGAUGAAGAACGUAGCGAAAUGCGAUACUUGGUGUGAAUUGCAGAAUCCCGUGAACCAUCGAGUCUUUGAACGCAAGUUGCGCCCGAGGCCUUUGGCUGAGGGCACGUCUGCCUGGGCGUCACGCAUCGCAACCCCCCUAACCCACACUUGGUGUGAGGGGAGGAAGAUGGUUUCCCGUGCCUCAUCGGGCACGGUUGGCCUAAAUUUGGAGCCUUAGGCAUCGAGUUGCCGCGGCAAUAGGUGGUGAACAAGGCCUCGGCCGUGCAAGCAACCAGUCGCGCAACCCCUUGACACUCGUAGCUCGUGGACCCUAUGAUGUUACCUUGUGGUGACACAAACGUUGCGACCCCA